GAAGAAGAACGCAGCGAAAUGCGAUAAGUAGUGUGAAUUGCAGAAUUCAGUGAAUCAUCGAAUCUUUGAACGCACAUUGCGCCUUCUAGUAUUCUGGGAGGCAUGCCUGUUUGAGCGUCAUUAAACCUCUCUCAAGUAUGAUUACUUGGAUGUGAAGGAAGAGUACCUUAAACUUAAGGAGUGUUCUCCUUUGAAAUUGAUUAGCAGAUGGUAAUGUUAUUAAAUCCCUGAUGUUGUAAGAAAUAACAGUGGUUUUGUAGACUAUUAUCUAGCUUUAAAUUAUAAUUUUUAUUAUGGUUGACCUCAAAUCAGGUAAGGAUACCCGCUGAACUUAAGCAUAUCAAUAAGCGGAGGA
rnacentral:misc_RNA from 1 species